rnacentral:rRNA from 1 species
UGGGGAAUAUUGCACAAUGGGCGCAAGCCUGAUGCAGCGACGCCGCGUGAGGGAUGACGGCCUUCGGGUUGUAAACCUCUUUCGGUAGGGAAGAAGCGAAAGUGACGGUACCUGCAGAAGAAGCACCGGCUAAUUACGUGCCAGCAGCCGCGGUGAUAAGUAGGGGGCAAGCGUUGUCCGGAAUUAUUGGGGGUAAAGAGGUGGUCGGCGGUUUGUCGCGUAUAUAGUGAAAAUCUCAGGGUCAACCUCGGGUGUGCAGUGGGUACGGGCAGAAUAGAGGAGUGUAGGAGAGAUGGGAAUUCUUGGGGUAGUGGCGGAAAAAGCAGAAAUCAUGAGGAAGAACACCGGUGAAGAAGGAUAUCCCGGCAUUAACUGACGAUGAGGAGGGAAAGCAGGGGGAGGGAACAAGAUUAGAUACCCCCGUAGUCCAUCCCGUAAACGUUGGGCACUAGAUGUAGGGGACAUUCCACGGUUUCAGUGCCGCAGCUAACGCAUAA